UACGUAGGGGGCAAGCGUUGUCCGGAAUUAUUGGGCGUAAAGAGCGCGUAGGCGGUCCGGUAAGUCGGCUGUGAAAGUCAAGGGCUCAACCCUUGAAAGCCGGCCGAUACUGUCGGACUAGAGUCCGGAAGAGGCGAGUGGAAUUCCCGGUGUAGUGGUGAAAUGCGUAGAGAUCGGGAGGAACACCCGUGGCGAAGGCGGCCUGCUGGGCCGAUCCUGACGCUGAGGCGCGAAGGCGUGGGGAGCGAACGGG
rnacentral:rRNA from 1 species